CUCCUACGGGAGGCAGCAGUGGGGAAUAUUGGACAAUGGGCGAAAGCCUGAUCCAGCCAUGCCGCGUGUGUGAAGAAGGUCUUCGGAUUGUAAAGCACUUUAAGUUGGGAGGAAGGGCAUUAACCUAAUACGUUGGUGUCUUGACGUUACCGACAGAAUAAGCACCGGCUAACUCUGUGCCAGCAGCCGCGGUAAUACAGAGGGUGCAAGCGUUAAUCGGAAUUACUGGGCGUAAAGCGCACGCAGGCGGUUUGUUAAGUCAGAUGUGAAAUCCCCGCGCUUAACGUGGGAACUGCAUUUGAAACUGGCAAGCUAGAGUCUUGUAGAGGGGGGUAGAAUUCCCAGGUGUAGCGGUGAAAUGCGUAGAGAUCUGGAGGAAUACCGGUGGCGAAGGCGGCCCCCUGGACAAAGACUGACGCUCAGGUGCGAAAGCGUGGGGAGCAAACAGGAUUAGAUACCCUGGUAGUCCACGCUGUAAACGAUGUCGACUUGGAGGUUGUGCCCUUGAGGCGUGGCUUCCGGAGCUAACGCGUUAAGUCGACCGCCUGGGGAGUACGGCCGCAAGGUUAAAACUCAAAUGAAUUGACGGGGGCCCGCACAAGCGGUGGAGCAUGUGGUUUAAUUCGAUGCAACGCGAAGAACCUUACCUACUCUUGACAUCCAGAGAAUUCGCUAGAGAUAGCUUAGUGCCUUCGGGAACUCUGAGACAGGUGCUGCAUGGCUGUCGUCAGCUCGUGUUGUGAAAUGUUGGGUUAAGUCCCGCAACGAGCGCAACCCUUAUCCUUUGUUGCCAGCACGUAAUGGUGGGAACUCAAAGGAGACUGCCGGUGAUAAACCGGAGGAAGGUGGGGAUGACGUCAAGUCAUCAUGGCCCUUACGAGUAGGGCUACACACGUGCUACAAUGGCGUAUACAAAGAGAAGCGAACUCGCGAGAGCAAGCGGACCUCAUAAAGUACGUCGUAGUCCGGAUCGGAGUCUGCAACUCGACUCCGUGAAGUCGGAAUCGCUAGUAAUCGUAGAUCAGAAUGCUACGGUGAAUACGUUCCCGGGCCUUGUACACACCGCCCGU
rnacentral:rRNA from 1 species